ACAUGCCAACAUCAAGAUUACCAACCCAAGUCGUGGAUACUUCUCAGUCAAAAGAUGGACCAACAUCAGCUGAAGCCAUUUCACAUCCGAUCAACAUGCCAACAUCAAGAUUACCAACCCAAGUCGUGGAUACUUCUCAGUCAAAAGAUGGUAAAACAUUUGCUUUUUUUAAGCGACUUAACAGGUUGUUGCAAACUCAUUAACCCAUUUGAAAACAUCUUCGAUUAAAUUUCCGCAUACAUAUGAAACAAUAAUAAUAAUUCACUUGAAACUUAAUAAAAAAUAGUGCCAUGCACUGUAAGUCACCUGGAUAUGUAGUCAACAAUAUCAGAAACUGAAGUGAAACUAGGUAUUUUACUGUCACUGCGUGAUUGGGUCAGUGGGCUAGCUUAGAGAUUAAAGCAUUCGCGCGUCACCCUGAAGGCCCGGGUUCGAUUACCCAUAUUGGUACAAUGUGUGAUGACCAUUUCUGGUAAAUUUCAUACCAAUUAAUAAAACACAUGUUGUAUAAAGCUAUUAGUAUUUGUCAAGAGGACGUGUAACUACACUUUCCAAAAAAAUAAACGAACAGGUAGUAUGUAGUUUAUUGAACCUGGCUACACAAGAAAUCCGGUUUAUGAAUUGGAUAUAUGUUAUUGUCCUGAUAUUCGACAAAUGACAGCCUUUGUAGAUUUGCAAUGUCUUAAACGGCUUUGUUUUCACACAUGUU